GGCCUAUUCCAUGGGCCUGGAGCUGAGUAUGGAGAGAGGCAGGGAUAGGAAGUUACAGCAUAUCCCUCCCUGCCUCUCUUUACUCACUGAUACGCAGGGGAGCAGCUACACAGCACAGAGAGUUCAACAGCAGCUCCCAGCCUGCAGAGACAGACUACAGUUCAGGAAAGUGAGGGGUGAGGGGAAAGGCAGCAGGGAGACAUAGGGACAAUGAGACACUAGGGGACACAUGGUGACACAUGGUGACAUUGAAACACUAGGGGACACUGGGAGACAUGGGG